AGGACGAACGCUGGCGGCGUGCUUAACACAUGCAAGUCGAGGGAGUGGCGGGGCAACUCGCCACGACCGGCGAACGGGUGCGUAACACGUGAGCGACCUACCCUGGUGUGGGGGAUAGCCGGCCCAACGGCCGGGUAAUACCGCAUGCGCUUUGGCUUCUUCCUGGAAGCUCAAGCAAAGUCUUCGGACGCACUGGGAGGGGCUCGCGGCCUAUCAGCUCGUUGGCGGGUAAUGGCCCACAAGGCGACGACGGGUAGC
rnacentral:rRNA from 1 species